GUGCAAUCACUUUCUUUAACAGCAGAAGAGAAGGAGAGCAGAGCUGCUGUCACUUCAUGUAUUUCUGCACAGAGGAAAGCAGUACAGGGCUGGGUCCCUGUGAUGUAGCUCAGGCAAAUCAGUGUUGCUUUUAGUGGCUGAAGUAAAGCAUCGCAGCAGACCUGGUGUGUGGAGAAGCAGUUUCCUAUGGACAAAUGCAAGAGGGAUGUUCCAGGAGCAAGGGCCACCACAGGAAAACUUCAGAGCCAUUUCUCUGAGAAGCAAAUGUGACAGGCAUAGCAGUGGAAAGGUGAUGUUAUGAGACAGAGGAGUGCGUAAAAACAGAUGCAGAGCUGUAAAAGACCUCAAAGUACAGAAUUACUGAAAAGUAGUCUAUGCCAUAAAAUGGACUUGAUGUAGAAAUCCCACAACUAAUGGAAACUCAUGCCAUGAAGUCCAGACUGUAGAUGUAAGGCAGCUCUGUGCCACAGUGACCUGUCACUGCAUUUUCUCGGCAGGGCUUAUUAGCUUGGGCAUGGCACUGUCUGAUGUGGGAACAGUGCAUCAAAUGUGAACUGGCUGGGGUCCAGGCAGCUCAGUGUAUCCAUGUAUCACACGCCCCAGCACACCAGCACUGGAAUUAGCUUAGACAGACCUCACUUGGGUUUGUUUUAAUUGGUCCAUAAAUGAUAAGAAACCCUCUUUUUUUCUCCCGUCCAACUAAUCUCCAGUUUAAUAAAGGAAG
rnacentral:lncRNA from 1 species